GAAGAGGUGGUAGAGGAGGGAAGGGAGGGAGAGAAGGCAAGGAGAAAGGAGGGGAAGAGGGACGUGCUUCCCCUCUCACUGGUGUCAGGUUCUGAUUGUGUCUGGGCUUUGCAUAGAGCAGGUGGGCAGCUGUGACCCACACAUGAUAUUCCACAUGAAGUUGUGUUUUUCUGAUGUACACAGUAAUUUUCAAAACCAGGAAAACUUUACAUAGCUCUCUAGAUUUCUGUAGAUAAGUGGAAAGGCCUGGCCUUCCUGGAUCUUCACCUGGCAGUGUGACCUGAAGCUGGUCACAGCUGCUCCUGCAACUCCUGGACUGGGCGUUUCAGAUUUCUGUGAUCCCCACUCUUCCUAUUGCCUCACACCCAGGAGGCUUCACUCACGUCCAUUGACAUCCUCUGCCUGGCCCCAGGAACACUGAAGUUUGUGACCUAGAUACAGAUUAUGUGCACACAGGGCUACCAUUCACAGGAGGCAGAUAGUCAGUGGGGGAGCAGGGUGCUGAAAGCCAGCUUCCGUGCAUGUCCAUGCUCUCUGUAUGUCCCUUCUGUGUUUGCACAAAGGCAUCCUACAGGCUGAAAAUGGUCCUGCCUGCAAAUUCUCCCAAAGAUGUAUAUUCUCCAUUGGCCAAAAUGUGCUAUAUAGCCCACAAGAAGGAGAGCAAUUCAGGGAGCUGAGAGUGAGAGGAGACUGCAUUCUCAGACACAAUUGUCCAGACACUUCCUUUAAAAACUUUGUGCCAUUGCCCAGGAAUGCUCAGUCUUGGAAAACAGUGAGUGUCUAAUCAAGCCAUUUAAAGCAGGGAGAAGAUUUUAAUUGGUUGCAAUUGUAGGUAUAAUUAUUUACAGCAUGCAGAGGUUUUCCUCAUAGUGAUCAUAUGCAGCAGCAAUUCUUAUUUCCCUAUUUUGCAGAUGAGGAAAUGGAAGCUUACAGAGGUUAAGUGAUUGGCCUCAGGCCACUGCAUUUAAUACUACUAAUAAUAUUAACACCCAUAGUCUGUCCUGGGCAGGCCUGAGCAUCUCACACACUUUUGUUCAUUUACUCCUCACCCCACGGGAGCACUGAUGCUACUUUUUCUCCUCUCCAAGAAGAAGACAGAGGCCUAGAAGAGUCUGGGUGAACUCCAAAACCCACAUUCCUAGUCGCAACAUGAGACACCUCAUUAAUAAGACCAAAGGGCCCACACCUAAAGGCAAAUCAGUCAACACAAAUAUAGGAUUAAAAUCCAGGUCUUCAGUCUAGAAUCUGUCACUCUUAUUCCUGCGCAUUUUUUAACACUUGAGCUCAACUUGUUCACGCAGGAUAUAUCAUUAGGAAACUCCAAAACUUGACCAUUAAUCAGAGUGUUUGUGAUGAAAAAAAAUCGGUGCCUUUUCUAUGAGACAAACCAGCUCUGUAUUUGACUCUGGUCAGUGUAGGCAUUAACUUCUAACCUGAAUCAGCAAGACCUGGGUUCCAGCCUGGCCCCACAACCCAACUGUGGUAUGGCCUUGGACCCAUCACCUGCCUCUCAAGCCCUCCUCUUCCUGCUCUGGGACAAGGGCACAGCCACAGCCCCAGUGUCAUGGCAACAUAUGGGCCAGGCUCAGGUCUAGCACUUGGCAAUCAGCCCAUGAUGGCAGGGAGGCUUCACUUCCUGUCCCAGGCAGAGGGGAAGACAUGGCCUAUGAGUAAUGCAAGUUUGAGUGUUGAGCCAGUUCAGAGCAAGCCUGAGAGGACCCGUGGGCACAGUCAGGCUCCAGAGACAAGAAGGGGCUGGCUCCUUUAACUUGUCUCCAGCUCAGCCACACAUGCCACCGGUGUGGGAGGGAGCCCCUGGUCACUUUCUGCUGGGGAGCAGAAUUGCUGAUGAAGGGCCCAGAGCCAAUGGGGAAGAGGCCUCCCCCACAACCCUGGGCCUCCUGCCCACUGAAGCCACUUAAAACUCCAGACCGUGCCCUCAAGCUUUCCAGUCUUCAUGUCUCAGGAAGGUCCAAGACAGCAGUGGGGAGGUGGGCACAUGACCGGGCUUUCUCAUUGCCUCCAAACAAUCCCAUGUGCUGGACCAUAUUUUCUGCUCUUCUAGAAGUUUCUGUGUCCCAGGUCAGGUGCAAAUGACCUCCCGACAAAAUAGCCCGUCUGAGUUCUGCAGAGGCUGAGAGCCUACUCAAGAGCAUGGAGUUUCCGAAGCCAGAAGGGACCUUGGAUAAACAAGAAAGCUCCAGGCCUGAGGAAGUUAAAGGAAUUUGCUUCAAAUAACCCAGUCGAAAGGGGUCAGCAGAUUGGCAGCCAGUGCUCCCUCCAUGACAGCACUGUCCCCGCCCUCUUCCUAUAUUAACUAAAUCCCACACAUGAUGCUGGCAUUUGAUAAUCUCUUAUCUCCAACCAAUGUUAAUUUUACAACCUGGCAUGCUUUAGGUGGUAGAGUAAUAAAGCAGAAUUUAUGCAUCCAAA